rnacentral:rRNA from 1 species
AUUGAACGCUGGCGACAGGCCUAAUACAUGCAAGUCGAACGAGUGGCGGACGGGUGAGUAAUGUCUGGGAAACUGCCUGAUGGAGGGGGAAAACUACUGGAACCGGUAGUUAAUACCGCAUAACAUCAGAUGUGCCCAGAUGGGAUUAGCUUGUUGGUGGGGUAACGGCUAACCAAGGCGACGAGGCCUAGCGGGUCUGAUAGGAUGACCGGCCACACUGGAACUGAGACACGGUCCAGACUCCUACGGGAGGCAGCAGUGGGGAAUAUUUCACAAUGGGCGCAAGCCUGAUGCAGCCAUGCCGCGUGUGUGAAGAAGGUCUUCGGAUUGUAAAGUACUUUCAGCAGGGAGGCGGUACCCGCACAAGAAGCACCGGCUAACUCCGUGCCAGCAGCCGCGGUAAUUC